CGCCCUUAGAGUUUGAUCCUGGCUCAGAUUGAACGCUGGCGGCGUGCCUAACACAUGCAAGUCGAGCGGCAGCGCGGGGCAACCUGGCGGCGAGCGGCGGACGGGUGAGUAACGCUUGGGAAUCUGCCUAUUAGUGGGGGACAACCCGGGGAAACUCGGGCUAAUACCGCAUACGCACUACGGUGGAAAGCCGGGGACCGCAAGGCCUGGCGCUAAUAGAUGAGCCCAAGUCGGAUUAGCUAGUUGGUAGGGUAAUGGCCUACCAAGGCGACAAUCCGUAGCUGGUCUGAGAGGACGACCAGCCACACCGGAACUGAGACACGGUCCGGACUCCUACGGGAGGCAGCAGUGGGGAAUAUUGGACAAUGGGGGCAACCCUGAUCCAGCGACGCCGCGUGGGUGAAGAAGGCCUGCGGGUUGUAAAGCCCUUUCGGUGGGGAAGAAAAGUUUCGACCUAACACGUCGGGACCUUGACGUAACCCACUAAAGAAGCACCGGCUAACUCUGUGCCAGCAGCCGCGGUAAUACAGAGGGUGCGAGCGUUAAUCGGAAUUACUGGGCGUAAAGCGCGCGUAGGCGGCUCUGCAAGCCGGAUGUGAAAUCCCCGGGCUUAACCUGGGAACUGCAUUCGGGACUGCAUUGCUAGAGUAUGGGAGAGGGAAGUGGAAUUUCACGUGUAGCGGUGAAAUGCGUAGAUAUCUGAAGGAACAUCAGUGGCGAAAGCGACUUCCUGGACCAAUACUGACGCUCAUGUGCGAAAGCGUGGGGAGCAAACAGAUUAGAUACCCUGGUAGUCCACGCCAUAACGAUGAGACUGGAUGUCGGGAGGUCUGCCUCUCGUGUCGUAGCUAACGCGUAAGUCUCCGCCUGGGGAG
rnacentral:rRNA from 1 species